UCAAGUAAAGUUAAUUUUCUCCUGAUCUGUUGAUCUGAAAAAAUGUCAUUUUGACGUCAAAAUGUUCCGAAAACGUGUGGCUUGUGAAGACUGGGUCCAAUAUUUAUCCGGUGAUUUAUUCCAGCAAAAGAAUCUGAUAAUCUGUGAAUUUGUUCACUUCGCCCAUUGAAAUGAAUACACUCACUCUGGUCUCCUAAAGGGGCGGGGAGCUGAAGAAUCUCACGUCACACAGAUACAGGAAAUAAACGGAAAUGAAGCGUCUCAGUUUUCUCUACUGUCUCUAGUAUUAAACGACUGCUGUCAAGUCGGACAACAGUCUACUUCCCGUAGCGCGAGUAGAGGGCAGCUCAACCUGCUGCUGUGUCACAGUGUCACAGCAGCAGCUAAUUAUUUACCUCUGUAAAAGUAGAUCUGAAGUUCUUACAUUAAAAAUGUAACACGUCAUGCGUAUCAAUGAAGCCUUCAGCCAUUCAGGAAAAAGCUAUGUCCUAACAGAAGUGUUUCAGCCCAGAGCCCUUGAAUAGAGAGUCGCGUCAUCUGCGUUCACUCUAUGGACCAUUUUUUUUUAACAGCAAUGGCGGAACAUGGAUCAUCUCAAUUGUUGGAAAUGCUAGCAGCGCAGCAGAAUAUACCAUCUGUGUUGAACGUUUAACAGCUGAUUUUGGAUUGAUGACAAAGGGAGAGGGAAGAUGGAGGAAGGUUGAAAACAAAAGCACAAGCGCCAUAGAACCGUGCUGUAGCCAAGUGCUGUGAAAUAGUCGGACAUUUCAAACACAGUUCUGCAAACACAGCAGAGCUGAAAGUUCAGCAAGCCUCUCAUGGACAAACAGAGGAGUCAAUCAUCCAGGAUGUACCCACAUGCUGGAAUUCAACACUUGAGAUGAUAAUGCGUGUCCAACACAACAAAGAGCCACUGAAGGCAACACUGGCCCAGCAGAAGCACAAAAUAGCUAUUGCUAACCUCAGCUGAAUAUGAAUAUAUGCUAGCAAAGUUGGAAACACUGCUGGAGUCAUGCAGGGUAUGUCACUGAGCUCCUGCUCUGUGGUCCUGCCUGCACUCUGCCACCUCAUGCGUACAAUGGAGGUCUCAGACGUUGACCUUGCUACAAGGCUGCAUUCACAGAGGACCUCAACACAUGAAAGGAGAACACAAACCUUUCAUGGUUAAAGCUAGCAACAGCUCCAGACCCCCAAUUCAAGGACCCCAGGUGCCUGCCCAAAGCAGGGAGCGGAGAGGUGUGGCAAAAGCUGAGUCAUAUGCUGAAGGACAGAGAAACUGCAUCACAGGCCUGCAGAGAGGAAAUGGAACCAGAGCCACCAAGGAAGAAGAUGGCUCUCCUACUCAUGCGGUCAGUGUCUGGUGAGGAGGCACUUUCCACAGACAAAACUCUGGAGCCCAAUGUCAGCAUAGACUAUGGUGGUGGUCAGCACACACUGGUGCCCGUGGUAGGCUUGCCCAAAAGUAGACUAUGAACUGGUUGACUGGAGUCAUGUCACACAACACGUUUACACAGUUUCAAGUAAUGUUAUUCAAUUAAGUGUGUGAAAAGGGACUGUUCACUUUGUUUCUUUCAAGACACUUAUCACUUUCAGUUUAUUAUUAAGCUUUCAGCUCACUCAAUGUAAUGUCGAAUUUAUUUGGGUGAAAUGUUACUUUACAAUUUACAGACAAGCUGUUUAUAAUUACUUUGUAGCAGAUGUAUUGUAACUGUUUUUGUGUUUUUGUCUUCUAUUUAAGUUGGCAGGUCAUUAUGGACAUUGCGGGCGAUGCCAAGCACUCCCUGAGACUUUUUAGUCAGUCUAAUGAUGAGGCACUUUAAUUAGUUAAACAUCUGUACAGUUAUAGAAUAGAGCCCAGUGUCAGCUUAGAGGCAUGUCUACUACAGUGGUGGUUGACACACACACUUGCCCGUGCUGUGCCAAGCUAGUUAAAAGGAAAUGGAAGACUUCAUGACUGGAGUCAUUUGACACAAGUAUGAGGAAAAUUUGUGAUGUGCGAUAACUCUGUUCAAUAUUGCGGUGACAGUUACUUGUGAUAAAUAAACAGAUAUUGAAGUGUGCAAUUUUGCUGUUCACUAUUACCUUAACGUAACUGCGCUGCACAUGUGUAAAUCAAACUGGUGGACGGGAGAUGUUAAAAAUGUAGAUUUUCUACAUGAUAAAAUCUUGUUCAACAGGUGGUGUGAUGAAGGACGGUAAUUGCUUUUUCAAUCGCAAAGGUUGUGAUGACACACACAGAACUACGACUGUAGUUGUCAGCUCCAGUAAAAUGUUAACUUCUCACUGGUCUCCACCCCCCGCCUCUGCACUGUGUGUGUGAGAGGCUGCAGCCUGACACCAAAACGCAAGUUCUUUUCCGGUUCAUCUGGCUCAGGCUCUGCACUUUGAAAACCCUGUGUGACUGCAUGACGUAUAAUAAAUACAAUUAUUUCUUUCCAGUUUAUCACGUUUCAGUCAGUCUUUUGCUUGUUGCAUAUGUUCAUAUCACGAUGACAAUGAAAAUACAAUUUAUUGGUCAGCACUAAUAUAAAUGGAGAGAGGAACAGAGUUUAUUUUAUUUCUAUAUAUGCUAUGAAUCAGUAUCUUUCACAAGGCUUUUGAAUAUUCUCGUUUAAACAUUUCACAUACAUUUCUCUUUUUUAUUUUGAGUAAUUUGCAAGCAUUUGUCACUUUUUCAUUGUUUUAACCUUGUGAAGCUCUUUGAAAUCUCUGGUUUUGAUAAGUGCUAUAUAACUAAACUAUUUUAUGAUAAUAAUUAUUAUGUUAAUUUCAUUCCUUGUCUUCCAUCAAUGUAAAACCUUGUUGGGCUUUUAUGGAAUUGAGUGUCAUUAAUAGGAUUAUUCCACUUAAUGUUAAUAAUUAGAAUGUAUUAUGUGUUUUAUUCUUCACUCAGCCAUUAAAGAACAAAUA